AAGUACUAACCAGGCCCGACCCUGCUUAGCUUCUGAGAUCAGACAGGAUUGGGCGUGUUCAGGGUGAUAUGG
rnacentral:sRNA from 1 species